rnacentral:rRNA from 1 species
CCUACGGGUGGCAGCAGUGGGGAAUAUUGCGCAAUGGGCGAAAGCCUGACGCAGCGACGCCUCGUGAGGGAUGAAGGUCUUCGGAUCGUAAACCUCUGUCAAGAGGGAAGAAACCCUUGAGUUCGAACAGGGCUCUUGGCUGACGGUACCUCAAAAGGAAGCACCGGCUAACUCCGUGCCAGCAGCCGCGGUAAUACGGAGGGUGCAAGCGUUAAUCGGAAUCACUGGGCGUAAAGCGCUCGUAGGCUGUUUGGUAAGUCAGACGUGAAAUCCCGCGGCUUAACCGCGGAACUGCGUUUGAUACUGCCAGACUUGAGUGUCGGAGAGGGUGGCGGAAUUCCGGGUGUAGGAGUGAAAUCCGUAGAUAUCCGGAGGAACACCAGUGGCGAAGGCGGCCACCUGGACGACAACUGACGCUGAGGAGCGAAAGCGUGGGGAGCAAACAGGAUUAGAUACCCCAGUAGUC